rnacentral:lncRNA from 1 species
AUGUUUUUCUUAGGGGUCUUGCAACCAGCAGGAGGAGCAGCAGAAAAGGAAGACACUGAUUCUUCCCUGGAUUCUGAGACUGAUCCUAAAAGUCAAGGGAGAGUGUGGACCAGUGUGUGGCUUCCUGCUGCAAAAGGCAACAGGUUGGAUGCGCGCUCUGCCAAAGUGGAAUGUGGCAAAGGGGUCUUGAAACAAGCAUGUAGAGAAGGGAUGAAGGAAGAUGGAGUCUUGCAGCCAGCAGGGGGAGAAGCAAAAGACGAAGACAACGAUUCUCCCUGGGAUUCUGAGACUGAUUCUGAAGGUGAAGGGAAAAUGUCAGCUGCUGUCCAGCUUCCCACUGCAAACAGCAACAGUGAAGUGUCAGCUGCUGUCCAGCCUCCUGCUGCAAAGAGCAACAAGUUGUAUGCUGGCUCUGCUGCAGUGGAAUGUGGCAAAGGGGUCUUGAAACAAGCAUGUAGAGAAGAGAUGAAGGAAGAUGGAGUCUUGCAGCCAGCAGGGGGAGAAGCAAAAGAUGAAGACAACGAUUCUCCCUGGGAUUCUGAGACUGAUUCUGAAGGUGAAGGGAAAAUGUCAGCUGCUGUCCAGCUUCCCACUGCAAACAGCAACAGGUUGUAUGUUGGCUCUGCUGCCGUGGAAUGUGGCAAAGGGGUCUUGAAACAAGCAUAUAGAGAAGGGAUGAAGGAAGAUGGAGUCAUGCAGUCAGCAGGGGGAACAGCAAAAGACGAAGACAACGAUUCUCCCUGGGAUCCUGAGCUUCCUGCAUUACACGAAGACGAUCUUCGGCUAAAGGUUGAUUCUUCAACUCAAACAGCUUCUGAACAGGACAAACAGCUUCCUGCAUUACACGGAGACGAUCUUCAGCUAAAGGUUGAUUCUUCAACUCAAACAGCUUCUGAACAGUACAAACAGGUGACUCUUAGAGACAGGUGCAAAUAUCCCUAA